AGGCUUUGAUCCUGGCUCAGGAUGAACGCUGGCGGCGUGCUUAACACAUGCAAGUCGAACGAACCUUCGGGUUAGUGGCGGACGGGUGAGUAACGCGUGAGAAUCUGCCCUCAGGAGGGGGAUAACGGCUGGAAACGGCCGCUAAUACCCCAUAUGCCGAGAGGUGAAACGAAUUUCGCCUGAGGAUGAGCUCGCGUCUGAUUAGCUAGUUGGUGGGGUAAAGGCCUACCAAGGCGACGAUCAGUAGCUGGUCUGAGAGGAUGAUCAGCCACACUGGGACUGAGACACGGCCCAGGCUCCUACGGGAGGCAGCAGUGGGGAAUUUUCCGCAAUGGGCGAAAGCCUGACGGAGCAACGCCGCGUGAGGGAUGAAGGCCUCUGGGCUGUAAACCUCUUUUCUCAAGGAAGAAGAUCUGACGGUACUUGAGGAAUAAGCCACGGGUAUAUCCGUG
rnacentral:rRNA from 1 species